rnacentral:rRNA from 1 species
AUUUGGANAUGGGCGAAGCCUGAUCCAGCCAUGCCGCGUGUGUGAAGAAGGUCUUCGGAUUGUAAAGCACUUUAAGUUGGGAGGAAGGGCAGUAAGUUAAUACCUUGCUGUUUUGACGUUACCAACAGAAUAAGCACCGGCUAACUUCGUGCCAGCAGCCGCGGUAAUACGAAGGGUGCAAGCGNUAAUCGGAAUUACUGGGCGUAAAGCGCGCGUAGGUGGUUCAGCAAGUUGGAGGUGAAAUCCCCGGGCUCAACCUGGGAACUGCCUCC